rnacentral:rRNA from 1 species
UACGAAGGGGGCUAGCGUUGCUCGGAAUCACUGGGCGUAAAGGGUGCGUAGGCGGGUCUUUAAGUCAGGGGUGAAAUCCCUGGAGCUCAACUCCAGAACUGCCUUUGAUACUGAAGAUCUUGAGUUCGGGGAGAGGUGAGUGGAACUGCGAGUGUAGAGGUGAAAAUUCGUAGAUAUUCGCAAGAACACCAGUGGCGAAGGCGGCUCACUGGCCCGAUACUGACGCUGAGGCACGAAAGCGUGGGAGCAA